ensembl:lncRNA
AUGGCCAUGAUCUUUGUUACUAGUGGCCAAAUUUUCAUAGCUGAUAUUUUGUUGGCAGGAUACGGCCUUGGUGCUGCUGGUUAUCUUGGAGAUGGUUUAACUGACGGUUAUGGAGCAGGUCUAGGGGCAGGUGGAUACCCACAGGGAGUUCGUGCAGGAAAGCAGAUUGGCUACAGCAACGGAUACGGCAGUGAGGUUUAUGGCACAGCAGACGGUUAUGGAGCAGGUCUUGGCGCUGGAGGCCUUGGAGGUCCAGGACUGGUAGUGAACCCCGGCCUUGGUGCUGAUGCCAAGUCUAGAAAAUAUGGGGCUGGCGGAGUUCUUGGAGCUGGAUCCUUGCCUUACGGUGGCCAGCCUGUGGUCUCAGCUGGACUUGACCCUCAAAGCAAAGCUGGUAGUUAUGGUGGAGCUACAUACAGAGGAAUACCAACGCUUGGGGCAGACACUUCUUUGGGCGGAGCUGUAGGCCAGAUUCCUUACAACGCACCAGUCAUUGCAGCUGGGCUUGAAGCUGAUGCUGGUUAUCCUUUUGGUGCUGAGCAAGUCAGCCUGGGUGCUGAUGCUACAAAGACAGCCGCCAAAUAUGGUGAGAAUAUAAGCAGUUUUCUUUUUUUCAUAUACAUCUAAUACAUAUCUAUUUUCUUUCCUUGAAAGAAAGUAAAUACUUUUAUUCAACAAGGAUACAUUAAAUGGAUCAAAAGUGAUUGUAAGGACAUUUAUAAUGUUAUAAAAGAUUUCGGUAACACUUUCUAUGAAGCCCCUUUUUAUGUGUUCCUGUAGCUCAAGUGGCAGUGCAUUGUGUUAUCAAGCGCAAGGUUGGGGGUUCGAUUCCCCGGGAACACAUGAUAGGUAAAAACUGAUAGCCUGAAUGCACUGUAAGUCGCUUUGGAUAAAAGCGUCUGCUAAAUGCAUAAAUGUAAAUUUUAUUUAAAUUUAAAACAUCAUAAUGGUAUUUUUAAGGCAUUAUAAUGAAUGCAUAAUGCAUUAUAAAAAAACCUUCUAAUAUGUUAUACCAACUCAUGAAUAAUCAAAACAACAACUAUAAUACGUCAUAAUACUUACGUAUUUGUGGUUAUAAGUUUAAGAGUAUAAUUAUUUAUAACACUCAAUGAACAUCAAAUUAAAUCUACUUCAUUUACAUUGUAAUGGACUGUGUCAUAUCCUGACAUUGUUUAUUUCAGAUCUGUUUCUUACUAACACUUGUGCGUGGUUUCCUGUUGGGCUGAUGUUAAUGAACUGAAAAAAUACUAUGUUUUAUAUGGUUACAUUUUAUCUUGAUUGUCCUCUUAAUCAAUCGACUAUAAGUGACUUUGCAACUACAUGCCAAAUAACUCUCACUAGAGUAUUAUGUAUUAGUAUGCUCAAGAAUAUGCUAAUGUACUUGCAAAGUCACAGACAGUCAGUUUAUCUGUAUCUAAAUAAAGUGUUAGCAUAUAUUUACAGUAGCAGGCAUACUAAUACUCUAAUGACUGCUGGGUGAUAUGUAGAUGCAGAGUUACGUAUCAACUCUUGUCUUAAGGGUACCAUCAAAAUAAUCAAACUGAUAUUACAAUACAAAUAGUUCAAAGCAAAUGUGUCAUAUUACACAUUCAUCUGAUCUGGUAUCUGAUCUUAUGGCUGUUUGAGAGAACAUUUUAUUAUUAUUAUUAUUAUUGUUAUUAUUAUUACUUAUAAGUGGUCUCUGACCACUUUAAGUAAAGUAGCAUCAGAAUAAUGGCAAGAU